AUAUUAGGAAUAUUUGUUAAAGGGGGGGAGGUAUGGCAGAGAAGAUUAGAAUGGCCCUGGUGCAAGGAUGACAUGCAAAUUUGUGAAGUGUUCCAUAUUUUU